rnacentral:snoRNA from 1 species
GUUGCUUCACGACUGGAAGGAUGGCCUGAUUUUCUAUUGUCUGGUCAUUCUGUAGAGGGAAGCAUAGAUUGAACAAGCCAGAAUUAAACAGCAUGAUGCUUAUUUCUCUGCAUCCGUGUUACCUGUCUCCUGGCACAACC